AGCGAUUCUCCUACCUCAGCCUCCCAAGUAGCUGAGAUUACAGAUAUGGCAAUGACCCUUGGCCAGUCUCUGGGAACUAAACUCCUGGGAUGUUUACACAGGUGCUGGGUAAGAUGUUCUUCCAUAUGCUCAAGACCACGGGUCAAGAUGUACUAGGCUGUCAGCAUUGUUGACUGUAAAUAUGAAGAUGCAUGAUGGGCACCUGGUACCUGGAUUGGAGUUCUCACUCUGUUCAUGUAGCAGGAAAAGACUGUGACCAGCUUCACAAAAGGCAGCAAAGGACUAUCAGAGAAAGAGAACUCCGAGUGAGGGGUCUGGCCUAGGCCCGGGAUCGGACCAGGCUCCCUCAGGACCCCAUCCUUUCCUGCCCGGACCGUGAAUUCAUCUCCUUGAAGCCAUAACGUCCGAGCUGCUGGUGCGGGGCAGCCCUGGCCCUAGGCUUCCUACCCCUGGAAGCGAGAGGAUGAGAGGAGGCCGGCCCAGCUCCUUCUUUCAGGGUGGGGGGCAUUCAGCCUCCACUGUGUCUGUCUUUUCUUCCCUGGGGCUCCCCCUCGAGGCGAGGGGCCAUGCAUGUCUGGGGGACCCCUGCCCCCCAAAACCCUCUGUCUGUCUCUGUCUCUUUGCUGUUUGUCCAAGACUCAGUGUCCCGACCCUUGUUCUCGCCGUGAAUGUCAAUGGGCCAAUCCUCUCUGUCCUUUCAGACACACACACACCUGUGUCCACCCCUUCUGUUCGCCACACCCUGCGUCUGGCCGGUCCCCCCACUGCUGCUGCUAUCAACGCCAGAAUAAACACACUCCGUGGGUCUC
rnacentral:lncRNA from 1 species